rnacentral:rRNA from 1 species
CGCCGCGUGAGUGAAGAAGUAUUUCGGUAUGUAAAGCUCUAUCAGCAGGAAAGAAAUGACGGUACCUGACUAAGAAGCCCCGGCUAACUACGUGCCAGCAGCCGCGGUAAUACGUAGGGGGCAAGCGUUAUCCGGAUUUACUGGGUGUAAAGGGAGCGUAGACGGUUUUGCAAGUCUGAAGUGAAAGCCCGGGGCUUAACCCCGGGACUGCUUUGGAAACUGUAGGACUAGAGUGCAGGAGAGGUAAGUGGAAUUCCUAGUGUAGCGGUGAAAUGCGUAGAUAUUAGGAGGAACACCAGUGGCGAAGGCGGCUUACUGGACUGUAACUGACGUUGAGGCUCGAAAGCGUGGGGAGCAAACAGGAUUAGAUACCCUGGUAGUCUACGCCGUANACGAUGAUUACUAGGUGUUGGUGGGAUG